CCUGGAUUCGCCCCUCUCCAUCGCCUAGACGCCUAGAGCCGCCUCUGUCGUCACCCGUCGCUAGCAACAAGGGAGUGAGAUUCUGCCAUGGCAUCAAGAACCGGCCAAUCCUGGGUUGGUAGUAGUGCAAGCAACAAAAUUGCUGUUGAGAGGCUAAGGCUGGUGGUGUCAAUCCAAAAUAUCAUCAAUCGGCUCAUGCUUCAAAAAUGGCAUCAGACGUAACAGGCCAAGGAGGCGACUUCUUUGUUAUUUUCAGAUUUUGCACGGUUAUGUGUUAUUACCUUAUUAUGUUUCUCUCAAACUCUAAUACUAGCAUAAAUUUAUUUUACAGGUACCAUGAGGAUUGCAGAAAUUGCCAAAUUGGCGAUACAUUCAGAUUUAGCCAUCAAGGAAGGGCAACAAAUCGGGCAGUUUUUAAUCCCAUCUCAUGCAUUCAAUUCUUCUCUUCUUUUAUAACCUGUCAUUUUAUUGAUUUUAUACAUAUACUCGGCGUACCGCCGUAUAUUUUUUUUUCAAAUCGGCGUAUUCUGUAUUGCCUUCUCCGUAUCGUUGUAUCCUGUCGCUGUAUCCAUGCUUCGUAGCUUGCAAGUCCUUCAUCCAGUGCCAGUGACAUACUGAAAUCCGGCCGGAACCAUAUCAUAACACGUCUCAUUGAUUUUGUACUGAAUGUGAUUUAGAGCUAAACUUUUACAUCCAGUUAUUGAAGGGAACUCAAAUCCUUUCAGCACUUUAACGCACUUUAACUUUCUUUAUAUGACUGUCUCUGUCAAAAGUAGCAGAUUUCUGUCUAAAAACUAAUAAAACUUGCACUAAUAAGAUUGAUAUACUUAACUAUAUUAGUAUCACGUUCUGGACCAUAAUAAUAAUUCAUUUUUGUUUUUUCAGAUUGCUUGACAUUGUUUUGCGAAUGGCCGCUUCGCCGCCACCCGGACGACGACAAUAGGAACUCUUUUUCGUUCUUCAGCUCAUACAGCUACAUCAAGGGUGCGGUGUGCUGCCACUUAUUUGUGAAGUAUACUUAAAUGUAACACUCUCGUGUUAACUUGUUCUGCUCCCUAAAUAAAGUCAUGCAAACCGUGUUAAGUACACGGUUAAGGAGUAGUUUGUAGGAAUUUAAUCUCAUUUUCUGCUCUCGUGUUAAUUUGUUCUGCUGUUCAACUCGAAAGUAUACCACUACAGGCUACAUAGAUGAUAACUUAUUUUUUACACCAUCCAAGUUUCAGGGAGUCUGUUCCUUGAAAAGCUCCCAACAUCAAUUACUAAACCUACUUGCUUGCCUACUGAGUACUUCUGAAGAAAAGACCUUGAUACACAUUAUUCUGAGAUAAA